rnacentral:rRNA from 1 species
CGUAGGGUGCAAGCGUUAAUCGGAAUUACUGGGCGUAAAGCGUGCGCAGGCGGCUUUGCAAGACAGAUGUGAAAUCCCCGGGCUCAACCUGGGAACUGCAUUUGUGACUGCAUCGCUCGAGUGUGGCAGAGGGGAGUGGAAUUCCGCGUGUAGCAGUGAAAUGCGUAGAUAUGCGGAGGAACACCGAUGGCGAAGGCAAUCCCCUGGGCCUGCACUGACGCUCAUGCACGAAAGCGUGGGAGCAAACAGGAUU